rnacentral:rRNA from 1 species
GAGUUUGAUCCUGGCUCAGGACGAACGCUAGCGGCGUGCCUAAGGUAUGCAAGUCGAACGGGCAAGAGGCUUCGGCCUCUUGUUAGUGGCGAACGGUCGAGUAACACGUAGACAACCUGCCCUCAAGUGGGGGAUACCAGGGGGAAACCUCUGCUAAUACCGCAUGUGGCGGGGGGUAGCAUUACCCUCUUGCUAAAGGUUUACUGCUUGAGGAUGGGUCUGCGGCCUAUCAGGUAGUUGGUGGGGUAACGGCCUACCAAGCCGACGACGGGUAGCGGGUCUGAGAGGAUGAUCCGCCGGACGGGGACUGAGACACGGCCCCGACUCCUUCGGGAGGCAGCAAUGAGGAAUAUUGCGCAAUGGGGGAAACCCUGACGCAGCGACGCCGCGUGGGUGAGGAAGUCCUUCGGGAUGUAAAGCCCUUUUGACCGGGACGAAACGGACGGUACCGGUCGAAUAAGCCCCGGCUAACUACGUGCCAGCAGCCGCGGUAAUACGUAGGGGGCAAGCGUUGUCCGGAUUUACUGGGCGUAAAGCGCGCGUAGGCGGAAACUUAAGCGUGCCCUGAAAGCCCCCGGCUCAACCGGGGAAGGUGGGUGCGAACUGGGUUUCUUGAGGACGAUAGAGGAGGGCGGAAUUCCUGGUGUAGCGGUGAAAUGCGUAGAGAUCAGGAGGAACACCCGUGGCGAAGGCGGCCCUCUGGGUCGGCCCUGACGCUGAGGCGCGAAAGCGUGGGGAGCGAACGGGAUUAGAUACCCCGGUAGUCCACGCCGUAAACGAUGGUCACUAGGUGUGUGCGGUAUCGACCCCGCACGUGCCGCAGCUAACGCAAUAAGUGACCCGCCUGGGGAGUACGGUCGCAAGGUUGAAACUCAAAGGAAUUGACGGGGGCCCGCACAAGCGGUGGAGCAUGUGGAUUAAUACGUCACUAACCGUAGAACCUUACCCAGGCUUGACAUCUGGAGAAAGCCUUUGAAAGAAGGCCGUGCCCCGCAAGGGGAGCUCCAAGACAGGUGUUGCAUGGCUGUCGUCAGCUCGUGUCGUGAGAUGUUGGGUUAAGUCCCGCAACGAGCGCAACCC